rnacentral:tRNA from 1 species
GAUCUCUUAAAAAAAAGCCUAGCCUGCUUUUAAAAAACAGGACGUUUAGAUACUCUUUAAAUCCUUAUAAAUCUUAAAGAGUGUCCAUUUAAAAAAGGGCUUUAUGAAGAAAGCACUUUAAGCUUUUCCAAUGAUUUAAGAUGAUACCGGGGAAGGUUUUCCGGUUUAUCCCGGAGGGCUUGUAGCUCAGUUGGUUAGAGCGCGCGCUUGAUAAGCGUGAGGUCGGAGGUUCAAGUCCUCCCAGGCCCACCAGUUUAUGCUCGUUUUUUACUUAUCCUGAGAGUUAUGAAGCUUAAGCGUAUUAAACGUAUCAAAGCCUCUUUAAUCUUUGUUUAUCGUUUCAAGAUUUUAUUUUAUCCUUCAAAAAUUGUUUGUUAAAUUUAUCUCAUUAUGUUUAUCAAACAGUGCCUUGUCAAAAGAAGGAUUUUAAGUUCCCUUCAAGAGGAUAGACAAAUUUAAAGGAUAAAAGCUAAAAAAUGAUACAAAUCAAUACAAGUCAAAAUAAUAUUGAUCGAAGAAAUAGUAUUGAUUAAAAGAGGACAAGUUACUCAAGUUGAUAAUUUUUUUGAGGUUGAUUUGAGAGAGCAUUCUUUAGGGGCCGUAGCUCAGCUGGGAGAGCACCUGCUUUGCAAGCAGGGGGUCGUCGGUUCGAUCCCGUCCGGCUCCACCAUUUAGAUCAUCAUCAUGUUGUAAGAACACGGUUUAGUAAAAGGCUU